UGGGGAAUAUUGCGCAAUGGGGGAAACCCUGACGCAGCGACGCCGCGUGUGGGAUGAAGGUCUUCGGAUUGUAAACCACUGUCGCGAGGGACGAAGCUCUGACGGUACCUCGAAAGGAAGCACCGGCUAACUCUGUGCCAGCAGCCGCGGUAAUACAGAGGGUGCGAGCGUUGUCCGGAAUCACUGGGCGUAAGGGCGCGUAGGCGGCCCGGUAAGUAGGGGGUGAAAUCUCAUGGCUCAACUGUGAGGCUGCCUUCUAGACUGCCAGGCUUGAGCACAGUAGAGGCGAGUGGAAUUCCCGGUGUAGCGGUGGAAUGCGUAGAGAUCGGGAAGAACAUCGGUGGCGAAGGCGGCUCGCUGGGCUGUUGCUGACGCUGAGGCGCGAAAGCGUGGGGAGCAAACAGGAUUAGAUACCCAUGUAGUCCCUGAGCGGGCUGGCAAGGCGCAU
rnacentral:rRNA from 1 species